rnacentral:rRNA from 1 species
AUGGAGACGCCGCCUCCACCACCUGCCCUGCCGUCCGUUCUCGCCCACCUGCGGUCCCUCCUCUCCGCCGCCUCUUCCGCUCUAUCCUCCCUCCCUUCCCCACUCCUCCCCUGCUCCACCACCACCACGGCGACGAUCGCCACCUCCUCCACACUCCCCGCACCUGCGCCCACCACCCCGCUCCCAUCUCUCCCCUCUUCACCGACUUCCGAAAUCCCCCUCCCCCUCCCGGCUGCGCCCGCCCCCUACCACGACUGCCCAGCCGUCGUCCGCACCACCAGCCAACCGCCCGCCUCGUCCUCCCUCCCCGCCUUCCUCGCCGCCGAGUGUGCAGACUUCGCCUCCUCCACUGCCGCCCCAACCCUCUCCUCUCCUCCCCGCAUCCUCCCGUCUGAGCUCUGCCUCCUGCGUCGGGAGGUGGACUCCUGGGGCUGCCACCACCCCCCCGGGGCGUACUCCUACGCCGCGGCCCGCGUGGUGGAGGCACUGCGGCUAGGUGCUCUACAGUGGGAAGUCGAGCUGCGGCGCUGGUUGCUCGCGAGCUCACCGAAAUAUGGUAUCGUGAUUGAUGCGGCCAGUCGAGACCAUGUGUUUGUGCUGGUCAGGCUGUGUAUGAAGGCGGCGGCGGCGGAGGCAGGGUGCUCGCUGGAACGCCUGCCCAAGGGGGAGGGCGAGGAGUUUCGUCUUGAUCCGAGGCCUGUGCGGUUCGAGUGCCCCAGGCUGGUUGAUGGUGUCUCCUGGUUGGCGAGCCAGCUCGAGGUUUUGUAUGGGAAGGGCAAUGGCUGGUUCUUCGCGAUUACGGCGGUGAAGGAGGCAAUUCUUAGGUUGGGGUCUUGUUUGGCUGUCGGUGUUGGAGAUGGUGUUGCUGGAGGCGCUAGUGAAAAAGGAUGUGAGUUGAGAGAUACUGGGACAUGCCCUAUUUUUGUCUCUCAGGUUGCUGCUGCCAUUGCAGCCUUACAUGACAGGUUGUCCCUGGAUAAGAAGAUUAGGGCUCUGCAAGCUCCACGCCCAUCCAAAUAUCAGCUGUUACUUGAAUAUUCACAAAUACUGAAGCAAGGCUGUGAUGAGCGUUCAAAGCGACCAAACUACAGAGCUGUUCUGGAUUAUGAUGGAAUUCUACCACGUCAAAUGGAUAACCAGGAAUCUGGUAGGUCCAAGACAAGGGAGGAGCUGCUAGCUGAAGAACGGGAUUACAAGAGAAGAAGAAUGUCUUACCGUGGGAAGAAAAUGAAGCGAAAUCCAACAGAGAUAUUAAGAGACAUAAUUGAUGAGCACAUGGCGGAAAUAAAACAAGCAGGUCUGGGGGAACCUCCUGGUGACAUUGCACAAAAUAUACUUGAGACCAAUUCUAAUGGAGGCGCUUACCAAGGAAGCUCUUGUGAUAAGGCUAUUUUGGGUUCUCGAUUACCUAGUCGUGAGAACUCACCGCAUACUGCAUCAAGGAGCCAUGACACAAGGGAUUCAUAUAUGAACAUAAGAUAUGAAAAUAGUGGACACCGUCACCAAAAUGUAUCUGAGCAUGAGAAAGGAGGGAUCAGAGAAUCAGGAAAUGCAAUGAAUCGAGGCUAUUCUGACCGGCAUGAUUACACACAUAAAAGAAACACCAAUGAUCAUAGGAAAUAUGGUAAUAAGUAUAAAAAGAACAUCCCAGAUUACCAUUCUGAAUCAAGUGAUCGUUCAGCAUGGUCCACGCGAACACCAAAAUCCUCGGAAAGAGAAUACGGCGGCAUGCCAGGAGAUAAAAGCAAUGAUAGAACCAGAACUACUCAGAACAGACAUGGAUCAAUACCUGGGAAUAAAGAUCAGUUCAGUGAUAGAUAUGAUCCCAAAAGCAGAUAUUCUGAUGAGGAUCCUCGUGAAGCAUACCAUGAUGCGUGA